ACAAGCUAGAGAGGGAUGCACACAUGCUGGUUCCCAGGAGGAGAAUCAUUAGGAAUAAUUAUACUAAUUAUAUGCCUCCACAAAGGACCCCAGGGAACAGGAUCCAGUGGGACAAGAGGUUUCAAGGAACUAAUCUGGAAGCCAUCUGAUAGCUCUGCCCUGACCACUUGUGAGAGGAACAGGCCACAAACAGAAAUACAGGUCUCCAGUAUGCAGAACUACAUUGACAUGGAGCAUGGUGGCUGUAUCCAAGUCUAAAACAGUUGGGAGUUUUUUUUAGAAGAUAUUCACAUUCAUCACAAGCAUCACUGGAGAGCUGUGGGCAUUAUAAAAAUCCAGACACUCUCAUUUUCAGGCUCGGCUGGUCUAUUGCUAUUGGAGGGAGUAAAGGGAACCCUCAAAGAGGAAGAAAAAAGAGGAAGGAGCACAGAAUAAAGGUAAAAAGUAAUUUCCUUAGGGCACAUGUGGACAAAUAAAAACUUAGGUUUUAUCUAUGUCCUGGGAUUGCCUCAAAUCUCAUCAGCCCUAACCUGGUUCUACUGCAGGAAGAUGAAUGGACUAGGAGAUAAGAUGUUUGAGUAUUUCAUCCUAUCUUCUUUUCAUUGAACAUGUAAUGCAGGCCAGUCCUUGUGCAAAUAUUUUGUAUAUGUUCUUUCAUCCAUUUCUCACAACAGCUCUUUAAAAUAAAUACUACUCUCCACUAUGUAAGUGAUGUAAAAAUGGUGGCUCAGAGAAAUUAGGUGGCUUGUCAAAGGUCAGCAGUAUAGCUAAAUCUACUUGUCUGAGUCAGACAUAUACCAGUCAUUCUAUGUUGUUUCUAAAAUCAGAGUUCUGGAGAUGAUUAAGAGCACUACAAUUAUUAAUGACAGCAAUUAUUUAAUGAGUUUCUACUUUGUGUAGUCAUUGUACUAAACCCUUUACAUGCACUAGACAAUUUAAUCAUUACAAUAAUCCUAUAUACUGUGGGCCAUUACCCUCAUUUUAUAAGAGAAGAAAUCACAGAUCAGGUCAGUUAAAUUCAUUAUUACAAGUCACAUUUCUGAGUGAAGAUUUGGGCUGGUGUGGGUCACUCUGAGGUCCAUGUUUUCAACCACUUUGCUAGUGAUUCUUGACUUUCAUGGGCUCCUAGACUCCUGUGAGAAUCAAAUAAAAGUUACGAAUUCUCACCUUUUACGAAUAACUACUUGCACCCUGGUUUCCCCAAAGCUGUAUAUUUGGACCAGAUAAUUCUUUGUGGGGGAUGAGGGGAAGUCAUGUACUUUGCAGGAUACUUCAUGUGCCCACUAAAGCAUAUCCAUGAUUUCCAGGGGGUCCAGUAGUUGAGCCCCUGCU